rnacentral:rRNA from 1 species
AGCCUGAUCCAGCAWGCCGCGUGUGUGGAAGAAGGCCUGCGGGUUGUAAAGCACUUUCARUAGGGAAGAAAAGCUUAGGGUUAAUAACCCUGAGUCUUGACGGUACCUACAGAAGAAGCACCGGCUAACUCCGUGCCAGCAGCCCCGGUAAUACCGAGGGUGCAAGCGUUUAUUGGAAUUACUGGGCGUAAAGGGCGCGUAGGCGGUUUGUUAAAUCGGAUGUGAAAACCCCGGGCUYAACCUGGGAAWUGCAUUYGAUACUGGCAAGCUUGAGUUUGGGARAGGGAAGUGGAAUUCCCGGUGUAGCGGUGAAAUKCGUARAUAUCCGGAGGAACAUCCGUGGCGAAGGCGRCUUCCUGGACCAAUACUGACGCUGAGGGGCGAAAGCGUGGGGAGCAAACAGGAUUARAUACCCCGGUAGUCCCCGCCGUAAACGAUGUCAACUAGACGUUGGGGGCGUUUAWCCCUUUAGUGUCGCAGCUUAACCGYWUAAKUGUCCGCCU